UAUUCACCCUUGUCUUUUGCGUACUUCUUGUUUCCUUGGUGGGUUCGCCCACCACUAGGACAAACAUAAACCUUUUGUAAUUGCAAUCAGCGUCAGUAACAAAUUAAUAAUUACAACUUUCAACAACGGAUCUCUUGGUUCUGGCAUCGAUGAAGAACGCAGCGAAAUGCGAUAAGUAGUGUGAAUUGCAGAAUUCAGUGAAUCAUCGAAUCUUUGAACGCACAUUGCGCCCUUUGGUAUUCCAAAGGGCAUGCCUGUUCGAGCGUCAUUUGUACCCUCAAGCUUUGCUUGGUGUUGGGCGUCUUGUCUCUAGCUUUGCUGGAGACUCGCCUUAAAGUAAUUGGCAGCCGGCCUACUGGUUUCGGAGCGCAGCACAAGUCGCACUCUCUAUCAGCAAAGGUCUAGCAUCCAUUAAGCCUUUUUUCAACUUUUGACCUCGGAUCAGGUAGGGAUACCCGCUGAACUUAA
rnacentral:rRNA from 1 species